AUUGAACGCUGGCGGCAUGCCUUACACAUGCAAGUCGAACGGCAGCAUGGAAGAGCUUGCUCUUCUGAUGGCGAGUGGCGAACGGGUGAGUAAAGCAUCGGAACGUACCGUGUAGUGGGGGAUAACGUAGCGAAAGUUACGCUAAUACCGCAUACGCACUGAGGUGGAAAGCAGGGGAUCGCAAGACCUUGCGCUAUACGAGCGGCCGAUGUCAGAUUAGCUAGUUGGUAGGGUAAAGGCCUACCAAGGCGACGAUCUGUAGCGGGUCUGAGAGGACGACCAGCCACACUGGAACUGAGACACGGUCCAGACUCCUACGGGAGGCAGCAGUGGGGAAUUUUGGACAAUGGGCGAAAGCCUGAUCCAGCAAUGCCGCGUGCAGGAUGAAGGCCUUC
rnacentral:rRNA from 1 species